UACGAAGGGAGCUAGCGUUGUUCGGAAUCACUGGGCGUAAAGCGCACGUAGGCGGAUUUGUCAGUCAGGGGUGAAAUCCCGGGGCUCAACCUCGGAACUGCCUUUGAUACAGCAAGUCUUGAGUUCGAGAGAGGUGGGUGGAAUUCCUAGUGUAGAGGUGAAAUUCGUAGAUAUCAGGAAGAACACCGGUGGCGAAGGCGGCCCACUGGCUCGAUACUGACGCUGAGGUGCGAAAGCGUGGGGAGCAAACAGG
rnacentral:rRNA from 1 species